ACCACCAAAUCAAGUUCCUGAUCCCUACGAAUCAAAGCUUUGGGAGGUACUGAUUGUGCUCGUAUAGGAUCCAUUAUUGUUGAUAGCAUUUAGUAGGGUUUUCAAAAUAGGUUGCUGGAAAAUUCUUGUAGCAGAGUCUUUACUUUUUGCCUAGGUCAUGAUUUUAUGUACUUCAAUUAUACAUAGUCUCAUAGUCUUCAGGCAAUUUCAGUACAUAGCUUUUUAGCCUUUCGUUGCUCGCUAGUGUUCCGGGGGAAGCAGGUUUUCCAGUUCAUUGUAACUGAAGGGCUCUUGCCUGUGAAGGGGGUGCAUGAAAUUUUGCUAUGCUCAUCGAUCAUUGUACAGAUUUUUAUCCAUGUUUACCCCCCCUUCUUUUAGCUCUCUAUUG
rnacentral:misc_RNA from 1 species